rnacentral:rRNA from 1 species
AGUCAUAUGCUUGUCUCAAAGAUUAAGCCAUGCAUGUGUCAGUACAAACCAAUAUAAGGUGAAACCGCGAAUGGCUCAUUAAAUCAGCUAUGUUUCAUUGGAUCUGUACCCCCCAUUUACUUGGACAACUGUGGUAAUUCUAGAGCUAAUACAUGCACACAUAGUCCCUGACCGUGAGGGAAGGGCGCUUUUAUUAGUUCAAAACCGGUCGGGCCUCGGUCCGUAAACCCACCUGUGAUGACUCUGAAUAACUUUUGGCUGAGCGCACGGUCUCCGUACUGGCGCCGCAUCUUUCAAGUGUCUGCCUUAUCAGCUUUCGAUUGUAGGUUAUGCGCCUACAAUGGCUAUAACGGGUAACGGGGAAUCAGGGUUCGAUUCCGGAGAGGGAGCCUGAGAAACGGCUACCACAUCUAAGGAAGGCAGCAGGCACGCAAAUUACCCACUCCCGGCACGGGGAGGUAGUGACGAAAAAUAACGAUGCGAGACUCAUCCGAGGCCUCGCAAUCGGAAUGAGUACACUUUAAAUCCUUUAACGAGGACCCAUUGGAGGGCAAGUCUGGUGCCAGCAGCCGCGGUAAUUCCAGCUCCAAUAGCGUAUAUUAAAGUUGUUGCGGUUAAAAAGCUCGUAGUUGGACUUAAGUUCUGGACUGACGGUUCACCGCCCGGUGGCUACUGUCACGCUCCGAAACCGCUCAUUAAUUUGAGCCCUGCCGGCUUGCACGGGGUGCUCUUCACCGAGUGUCCCGAGUGGCCGGCAUGUUUACUUUGAAAAAAUUAGAGUGCUUAAAGCAGGCUACUUGUAUGGCCUGAAUGUCUAUGCAUGGAAUAAUGGAAUAGGACCUCGGUUCUAUUUUGUCGGUUUUCCUUAUCGGAACCCGAGGUAAUGACUAAUCGAGACAGGCGGGGGCAUUCGUACUGCGACGCUAGAGGUGAAAUUCUUGGACCGUCGCAAGACGAACUACUGCGAAAGCAUUUGCCAAGGAUGUUUUCCUUAAUCAAGAACGAAAGUUAGAGGUUCGAAGGCGAUCAGAUACCGCCCUAGUUCUAACCAUAAACGAUGCUAACUAGCGAUCCGCCGGCGUUAUUCCCAUGACCCGGCGGGCAGCUUCCGGGAAACCAAAGUCUUUGAGUUCCGGGGGAAGUAUGGUUGCAAAGCUGAAACUUAAAGGAAUUGACGGAAGGGCACCACCAGGAGUGGAGCCUGCGCCUUAAUUUGACUCAACACGGGGAACCUCACCAGGCCCGGACACCGGAAGGAUUGACAGAUUGAGAGCUCUUUCUCGAUUCGGUGGGUGGUGGUGCAUGGCCGUUCUUAGUUGGU